GUCGAGAAUCUUUCACAAUGGGGGCAACCCUGAUGGAGCGACGCCGCGUGGAGGAUAAGGUGUUCGGAUUGUAAACUCCUGUCAUGCGUGAACAAGGUUGCUUGGUUAAUACCUGGGCAAAUUGAUGGUAACGCAAGAGGAAGAGACGGCUAACUCUGUGCCAGCAGCCGCGGUAAUACAGAGGUCUCAAGCGUUGUUCGGAAUCACUGGGCGUAAAGGGUGCGUAGGUGGCGUGGUAAGUCAGAUGUGAAAGCCCGGGGCUCAACCUCGGAACUGCAUCCGAUACUGCCAUGCUAGAGUACUGGAGAGGUGACUAGAAUUCUCGGUGUAGCAGUGAAAUGCGUAGAUAUCGAGAGGAAUACCAAAGGCGUAGGCAGGUCACUGGACAGUUACUGACACUGAGGCACGAAGGCCAGGGGAGCGAACGGGAUUAGAAACCCUUGUAGUCC
rnacentral:rRNA from 1 species